AUCGAACGCUGGCGGCAAGCCUAACACAUGCAAGUCGAACGAGUGGCGGACGGGUGAGUAAUGUCUGGGAAACUGACUGAUGGAGCGGGAUAACUACUGGAACCGGUAGCUACUACCGCAUAACAUCGUAUGGGCCCAGGUGGGAUUCGCGAGGAGCUGGGGUAACGGCUCACCAAGGCGACGAUGCCUAGCUGGUCUGAGAGGAUGACCAGCCAAACUGGAACGGAGACACGGCCCAGACUCCUAAGGGAGGCAGCAGUGGGGAAUAGUGCACAAGGGGCGCAAGCCUGAUGGAGCCAGGCCGCGGGUAUGAAGAAGGCUUUCGGGUUGUAAAGUACUUUCAGCGGGGAGGCGUUACCCGCAGAAGAAGCACCGGCUAACUCCGUGCCAGCAGCCGCGGUAAUUC
rnacentral:rRNA from 1 species